rnacentral:rRNA from 1 species
UAGCUCCUACGGGAGGCAGCAGUGGGGAAUAUUGGGCAAUGGGCGCAAGCCUGACCCAGCAACGCCGCGUGAAGGAAGAAGGCUUUCGGGUUGUAAACUUCUUUUCUCAGGGACGAAGAAAGUGACGGUACCUGAGGAAUAAGCCACGGCUAACUACGUGCCAGCAGCCGCGGUAAUACGUAGGUGGCAAGCGUUAUCCGGAUUUACUGGGUGUAAAGGGCGUGUAGGCGGGAAAGCAAGUCAGAUGUGAAAACCCGGGGCUCAACUCCGGGAGUGCAUUUGAAACUGUCCAGCUAGAGUGCAGG